AUGGAAAUGGAAUUCAGGGCUUUGCUUCUGCUGGGACUCUUUUUGGCGGAGCCAGGGUUCGGACAGAGAGGUGACAUGGAUAUUAGUGAGUGGUUGAAAGAAAGAGUGGAGUUAAUAAAAAACUUGGAGGGUAAACUGAAAUAUGUAGACAGAUGGGAGGAUGAUGUUAAAGAUCUGGAGGCCAGGCUCAACGCGACUGUGGACGCGCUGACGAGACAGAAAGCUGAAGUGGACAGACUGAAUGAAAAGAAUGAAGGCCUGCAAAAAAGACUGAAGGCCACAGAGGAGAAGAUUGAUAAGCUGAAACAAAGCAGUGCUGAAGGUGCUCCUAAGAUCGCGUUCUCAGCCUCUUUUUCGUAAACUCUGGGGAGAUUUAUAAAGGACCCUGCACAGAGAAGACCCUGGUUUUCCAAAGGGUCUUCUCAAACACUGGCAGUGGUUAUGACCAAAAUACAGGUAAUGGACCCUCUCGCACUUUAUUUGAGAAAAUUAAAUAAUAAAUAACAUUAUAGCAUUCCACUGUAGCCUAUAGCCUCUAUAGAUCAUUAAUGAAUUAAUAAUAUUAGCUCAACCAGGUUCUGAAAAGCCAUAAUUCAUUAGUUUAGAUUUGCCUCCAAAGAAGCUGCCUUUGAGAAACUUUAAAGAAAUAAAACUCGAAUCUAGUUAGAAUUUGAGUAACACAUCUUGUAUCUGCUUGCUCUUUUCCAAGAAUCUUCACGGCACCAGUGAGCGGUCUCUAUUACUUCAGCUUCAGUAACUAUGGCUACAACACUCACGUAAUGGGGGUCAUUUUAAGAAAAAAUGGCAUCCUUCAAAUUUCGACGGCUCAGACAGUAGCAGUAACUCUGCUGUUCUUCAGUUGGCUGCUGGUGAUAGGGUGCACAUGGAACUGUGGGAUAAUGGUAGAGUGUUUGACAACGUUAACGGACACACGACCUUCAGUGGUUUUCUUGUCUUCCCUGUGUAAAUAAUUAGGAAACAAUGCAUUGAAAGAUGCUUAUGCAACAGUAACAGUACAGUUUAUUGAAAAUAUAACAACAAUAAAUGCAAAACAGACUUCUUACAUUGUCUAUUUUUUCUGUCUCUGGUAACUAAAAACUGCAACAGGCUUCAUCAGUAGCACAGCAGGGGCUGGGUUUGAGAACUGGAGGAUGGCCAGUGAGUGGACUGGUUGCCAGAGAAGUGACAGUUCAUCUCAGAGCACCUUCUGC
rnacentral:lncRNA from 15 species